UAUAUUUGCGCCGCUAAUGUAUUAGCAUACAUAAUAAUCAUUUAAAUAAUAUUGGAAUG
rnacentral:ncRNA from 1 species